rnacentral:rRNA from 1 species
AGAGUUUGAUCCUGGCUCAGGAUAAACGCUGGCGGCGUGCCUAACACAUGCAAGUCGAACGCCCUUGCCUUCGGGUGAGGGAGUGGCGGACGGGUGAGUAACACGUGGGGAUCUACCUUUCGGUGAGGAAUACCGGCGAGAAAUCGCCGACAAUACCGCAUAGGUUCGGCAACGAACAAAGUCGCAAGACGCCGAAAGAUGACCCUGCGGCCGAUUAGCUAGUUGGUGAGGUCACGGCUCACCAGGGCGACGAUCGGUAGCUGGUCUGAGAGGACGAUCAGCCACACUGGGAUUGAGAACGGCCCAGACUCCUACGGGGGGCAGCAGUGAGGAAUUUUCGUCAGUGGGGGCAACCCUGAACGAGCAACGCCGCGUGCCGGAAGAAGGUCUUCGGAUCGUAAACGGCUUUUCAAAAGGACGAGAACGGACGGUACUUUUGGAAGAAGCCCCGGCUAACUACGUGCCAGCAGCCGCGGUAAUACGUAGGGGGCGAGCGUUGUCCGGAGUUACUGGGCGUAAAGGGCGCGCAGGCGGUCUGGUAAGUUUGGAGUGACAGUGCUCGGCUUAACUGAGCAAGGCCUUCGAAAACUGCCAGACUUGAGCACUCAAGAGGGACAUAGAAUUCCGGGUGGAGUGGUGAAAUGCGUAGAUAUCCGGAGGAAUACCAAAGGCGAAGGCAGUGUCCUGGGGAGUGUCUGACGCUCAGGCGCGAAAGCUAGGGGAGCGAACAGGAUUAGAUACCCCGGUAGUCC